rnacentral:misc_RNA from 1 species
AACUCAACACUAUCUUGCCUAUAAAAGACACUGUAGAGUGCCUUGAGAACACAUUUGUUUCUUUUAACUUCUAGGACAAGAUAACUGUCUCCAAAGCAAUCACCAUCCAAAAACAUUAUGCCAAUAAGAAUAAGUGCCUUCCAGCAGUGGUACAGGCAUUUUGGUGAUACCUUCUGCUGCAAAGCAACUUUGCCAAAAUCUAUACAAAAUACACAAAAUCAUAGAGGGAGUAAUCAAGUCAGGUCAGGUUUGGGUUCAGAAUGUUUCAGGUACUGCAUUUUCCCAUAUGGAUUUGAGUUGAAACUUGCUUGUAGGGGUGUGUACUAUUCAGUUAUAACCAAAAACAAAACCGAACCAGCCAAUUCAGUUAUUUGAUAAAGGAUAAUUUGAUUAUGGGUUCAGUUCAGUUAAUAAAUCUUGAAAUCUUUUGUUAUUGGUCCGGUUACCUUUGGAAUUGUAACCAAAAUAACCGAAUUUUUGAAUAAUAAUAAUAAUAAGAGAAGAAAAUUAAUUAGUGGGAGUUUUUAUAA